rnacentral:rRNA from 1 species
GAUGAACGCUGGCGGCGUGCCUAAUACAUGCAAGUCGAGCGAACAGACGAGGAGCUUGCUCCUCUGACGUUAGCGGCGGACGGGUGAGUAACACGUGGAUAACCUACCUAUAAGACUGGGAUAACUUCGGGAAACCGGAGCUAAUACCGGAUAAUAUAUUGAACCGCAUGGUUCAAUAGUGAAAGACGGUUUUGCUGUCACUUAUAGAUGGAUCCGCGCCGCAUUAGCUAGUUGGUAAGGUAACGGCUUACCAAGGCAACGAUGCGUAGCCGACCUGAGAGGGGGGUCGGCCCAACAGGAAAGGAGAACCGGUCCAGGCCCCCAGGGGAGGAAGCAGUGGGAAAUUUUCCGCAAGGGGCGAAAGCCUGACGGAGCAACGCCGGGGGAGUGAUGAAGUGCUUCGGAUCGUAAAACCUUGUUAUUAGGGAAAAAAAAAUGUGUAAGUAACUAUGCACGUUUUGACGGUACCAAAUCAAAAAGCCACGGCAAACUACGG